GGUUUGGCUCCAGGCUCGGCCAACCACACCGCUUGCCCGUGGAAAUGCUCUGAACCUGGAGCAGCAAGCUCCUUCUGCACCUGGAGCUCCAGCUGUGGGAGCCAGCGAGAAAGCUCCUUGAGGCCUCCACUACCUCUUCGUGAAGGUGCUACGUGGACCAGUGCUCCCUUGGGUCGUGACGUAGGGAUGCACACGUGGUGGCUGGGAGCCCAGAGCAGGACUGGGUGGCGGGCAGAGGAAAAGCAGCCGGAUGGUGCACUUCUUUUCCUCUCUAUGACAAAUAACAAACGCCAAAGUUACGUCAGAGGGAUGGAGCUGCGUCAAAGGAGCCCUUCUGCGAGGAUGCGAGGGAACCGUGACUGCUGAGUGAGGUCAAGGCCAGCUGGGGAGCCUCCAGGGUGAGAAAUCCCUGCUGGACAAACAGCUCACACAGCUGUGAGCUCCCGGCACACUGCACUCAGGGAGGCUUUGGCACUGACCCCGAUGCUGCCAGGAUUUCCCCUGCAAUUACCAGCGUGCAGCCGUCUGGAGAGGAUGUUCCCUCCGGAAGGCUGCAAAGUGAGCUUAGUUUCUGUGAAGCAAAGGAUAAAGCCUAGUUAGCCUCUGGCAGACAAAAAUGCUGACUCGAACCCAACAAAUAUUGGACGCUGCAUACAGCACUAAAUAAUGUCUGGCUUUGGGGCUGGCAAGGUUGGUUAGGAGCUGGUGGUGGCCAACCGUGUGUGGGGGGACAGGCAGGGAGCAGCCACCAGGUACUCAGGGGCAGAUGUGUGGACGGGGAGCAUCGGCCUCAGAGCACUCUGUGCUUGCAUACACUUCUUCAGCACCAGCAGGAUACAGGGCUGCUGAAUUAGCCAGGAAAAUGGGAACAGUGUGUGAUGCACAGGCUCAGACUACACUAUUAGAGACUGGUUUCUACACUGAUUCAAACACACAAACAUGCAUAUAAGAUACCUGCACAAUAGAGUUUUUUCUUUAAAAAAAGAAACAAACUGUGUUGUGAAAGACCUUAACUACCUGUAUUUGAAGAUCAUUGUCUGAAAAGAUGAAAAACACACAUUUUCAUUUCAUUUCAGAUUAGCAUGGUAAACAGCUAGAUCUGUUCUUUCAAAUGGAGCAUUCAGUUCCAUUUGUUAGCUUUGUUGCUGAUAUUUCACCUCUCUUUUACUUAUUUAACACGGUUUGACAAGAAAUUCUCAGUGAGAUAAUAUAUCUACAUGAAAGUCUGGCUUAGGGAGCAAGUCCAGAGUUUUCAGAGGGACAGGGUCGAUGUAGGUCUUUGCCAUUUUGGUCUGCCUCCAUUCCACAGAAAGCACUCAGCAGAGUUACCCAAUCACGUGAGUAUUUUUGUUAGAAAAAAAAAGGUAUUCCUUUUUUUUUUUUUUCCCUAAAAAUAAGCAUAUUGGUAGAAAUCAAGAUCGUAUCCACUUGGGAAAAAGAAAUUAAAUCACAAGCAAUAGAAGCUAUUACUCUGUAAAAUAAUGCCUUCUCCCAAGCCAGGUAGGAUGAUUCCUACUGCAAAAAACUACCAGUACAAAGAAAAUUAGUAAACAUUCAUGUUGUUUUUUACUAUAUAAAACUAGACAAAAUGUAUAUGUCAUCAGGAUUUCACCUGUGCAGCAUGGCAAUAAUGAUCCUUACACAGCAACCAGACAGUGCAAGGCAUUUCUGAGGCUGAACUGAGGCAGGUGGUGGAGUACAUCUGUCUACAUUCUUAGUAAACAUCAGAAAGAAAUAUUGCUUGCCUGAUCUGCAUGGUUCAAAACCAUCUCUUUUUUGUUCAAAGUUCAAAUUGGCACUCACAUCCUGAAGAGACCUGCGGCGCCAGAGUUUGCUAUCCUCAGUGGGGUAUCUGGGACUGUGCCUAGCAUGCCCAAAGGCUGCAGGUCCAGCAGUAUGGCUCCGGCUCCUGCAUCAGCAUUGCAGUCAAUGACAAGGGGAAAUUUUUACAGCCUGAGGUCAAUGAGAAGUGAUAAAGAACAUGAAGAAUGACAAAAAUAAAUAGAUAAUAAGGAUAGAGAAAUUAGAAGGG
rnacentral:lncRNA from 1 species